rnacentral:rRNA from 1 species
GGAGCCUACGGGAGGCAACAGUGGGGAAUGUUUUCCAACCGAAGCAAGCCUGAGGCAGCGACGCCGCGCGAGGGAAGAAGGCCUUCCGUUUGUAAGCCUCUUUCAUUAGGGAGGAAGCGAAAGUGACGGUACCUGCAGAAGAAGCACCGGCUAACUACGUGCCAGCAGCCGCGGUAAUACGUAGGGUGCAAGCGUUGUCCGGAAUUAUUGGGCGUAAAGAGCUCGUAGGCGGUUUGUCAAGUCGGGUGUGAAAUCCCCGGGCUCAACCUCGGGCGUGCAUUGGAUACGGGCAGACUAGAGUACGUCAGGGGAGACUGGAAUUCCUGGUGUAGCGGUGAAAUGCGCAGAUAUCAG